rnacentral:rRNA from 1 species
GGGUUGUGAGGUUAAGCGACUAAGCGUACACGGUGGAUGCCCUGGCAGUCAGAGGCGAUGAAGGACGUGCUAAUCUGCGAAAAGCGUCGGUAAGGUGAUAUGAACCGUUAUAACCGGCGAUGUCCGAAUGGGGAAACCCAGUGCAAUUCGUUGCACUAUCGUUAACUGAAUACAUAGGUUAACGAGGCGAACCGGGGGAACUGAAACAUCUAAGUACCCCGAGGAAAAGAAAUCAACCGAGAUUCCCCCAGUAGCGGCGAGCGAACGGGGAGCAGCCCAGAGUCUGAAUCAGCUUGUGUGUUAGUGGAACGGUCUGGAAAGUCCGACGGUACAGGGUGAUAGUCCCGUACACCAAAAUGCACAGGCUGUGAACUCGAAGAGUAGGGCGGGACACGUGGUAUCCUGUCUGAAUAUGGGGGACCAUCCUCCAAGGCUAAAUACUCCUGACUGACCGAUAGUGAACCAGUACCGUGAGGGAAAGGCGAAAAGAACCCCGGCGAGGGGAGUGAAAAAGAACCUGAAACCGUGUACGUACAAGCAGUGGGAGCACCUUCGGGUGUGACUGCGUACCUUUUGUAUAAUGGGUCAGCGACUUAUAUUCUGUAGCAAGGUUAACCGUAUAGGGGAGCCGCAGGGAAACCGAGUCUUAACUGGGCGUUAAGUUGCAGGGUAUAGACCCGAAACCCGGUGAUCUAGCCAUGGGCAGGUUGAAGGUUGGGUAACACUAACUGGAGGACCGAACCGACUAAUGUUGAAAAAUUAGCGGAUGACUUGUGGCUGGGGGUGAAAGGCCAAUCAAACCGGGAGAUAGCUGGUUCUCCCCGAAAGCUAUUUAGGUAGCGCCUCGUGAAUUCAUCUUCGGGGGUAGAGCACUGUUUCGGCUAGGGGGUCAUCCCGACUUACCAACCCGAUGCAAACUACGAAUACCGAAGAAUGUUAUCACGGGAGACACACGGCGGGUGCUAACGUCCGUCGUGAAGAGGGAAACAACCCAGACCGCCAGCUAAGGUCCCAAAGUCAUGGUUAAGUGGGAAACGAUGUGGGAAGGCACAGACAGCCAGGAUGUUGGCUUAGAAGCAGCCAUCAUUUAAAGAAAGCGUAAUAGCUCACUGGUCGAGUCGGCCUGCGCGGAAGAUGUAACGGGGCUAAACCAUGCACCGAAGCUGCGGCAGCGACACUAUGUGUUGUUGGGUAGGGGAGCGUUCUGUAAGCCUGCGAAGGUGACCUGUGAGGGUUGCUGGAGGUAUCAGAAGUGCGAAUGCUGACAUAAGUAACGAUAAAGCGGGUGAAAAGCCCGCUCGCCGGAAGACCAAGGGUUCCUGUCCAACGUUAAUCGGGGCAGGGUGAGUCGACCCCUAAGGCGAGGCCGAAAGGCGUAGUCGAUGGGAAACAGGUUAAUAUUCCUGUACUUGGUGUUACUGCGAAGGGGGACGGAGAAGGCUAUGUUAGCCGGGCGACGGUUGUCCCGGUUUAAGCAUGUAGGCUGAUUGUCCAGGCAAAUCCGGAUAAUCAAGGCUGAGGUGUGAUGACGAGGCACUACGGUGCUGAAGUAACAAAUGCCCUGCUUCCAGGAAAAGCCUCUAAGCAUCAGGUAACAUCAAAUCGUACCCCAAACCGACACAGGUGGUCAGGUAGAGAAUACCAAGGCGCUUGAGAGAACUCGGGUGAAGGAACUAGGCAAAAUGGUGCCGUAACUUCGGGAGAAGGCACGCUGGUGUGUAGGUGAAGUCCCUGCGGAUGGAGCUGAGACCAGUCGAAGAUACCAGCUGGCUGCAACUGUUUAUUAAAAACACAGCACUGUGCAAACACGAAAGUGGACGUAUACGGUGUGACGCCUGCCCGGUGCCGGAAGGUUAAUUGAUGGGGUUAUCCGUAAGGAGAAGCUCUUGAUCGAAGCCCCGGUAAACGGCGGCCGUAACUAUAACGGUCCUAAGGUAGCGAAAUUCCUUGUCGGGUAAGUUCCGACCUGCACGAAUGGCGUAAUGAUGGCCAGGCUGUCUCCACCCGAGACUCAGUGAAAUUGAACUCGCUGUGAAGAUGCAGUGUACCCGCGGCAAGACGGAAAGACCCCGUGAACCUUUACUAUAGCUUGACACUGAACAUUGAGCCUUGAUGUGUAGGAUAGGUGGGAGGCUUUGAAGCGUGGACGCCAGUCUGCGUGGAGCCAACCUUGAAAUACCACCCUUUAAUGUUUGAUGUUCUAACGUUGGCCCCUUACCGGGGUUGCGGACAGUGUCUGGUGGGUAGUUUGACUGGGGCGGUCUCCUCCCAAAGCGUAACGGAGGAGCACGAAGGUUAGCUAAUCCUGGUCGGACAUCAGGAGGUUAGUGCAAUGGCAUAAGCUAGCUUGACUGCGAGCGUGACGGCGCGAGCAGGUGCGAAAGCAGGUCAUAGUGAUCCGGUGGUUCUGAAUGGAAGGGCCAUCGCUCAACGGAUAAAAGGUACUCCGGGGAUAACAGGCUGAUACCGCCCAAGAGUUCAUAUCGACGGCGGUGUUUGGCACCUCGAUGUCGGCUCAUCACAUCCUGGGGCUGAAGUAGGUCCCAAGGGUAUGGCUGUUCGCCAUUUAAAGUGGUACGCGAGCUGGGUUUAGAACGUCGUGAGACAGUUCGGUCCCUAUCUGCCGUGGGCGCUGGAGAAUUGAGGGGGCUGCUCCUAGUACGAGAGGACCGGAGUGGACGCAUCACUGGUGUUCGGGUUGUCAUGCCAAUGGCACUGCCCGGUAGCUAAAUGCGGAAGAGAUAAGUGCUGAAAGCAUCUAAGCACGAAACUUGCCCCGAGAUGAGUUCUCCCUGAGACUUUAAGUCUCCUGAAGGAACGUUAAAGACGAUGACGUUGAUAGGCCGGGUGUGUAAGCGCAGCGAUGCGUUGAGCUAACCGGUACUAAUGAACCGUGAGGCUUAACCUUACAACGCCGAAG